GGAAACCACAUUUUCCUUUGUUCUAUUUACUUUAGAAUGAAGUUAUUUCUGACCAGAGUUGCAUUCCAACUUUAGACAGAUGGGCCAUAGCGAUAAUGCAGGUAUGUACCCUGCAAGAACAGAGCAUAAGUGAGCAUGCCACAUGCAUGCAGAGGGAGAGCAAGGGCUCCUCAUACAUUCGACCCACGUGUACUAAGCAUCAGAGACAUUCCAGGUUCUGUGCCGCCUCUUUUGAGGAUUAAAGAGAUAAACAGGUCUCAGCCUCUGGCCUCACGUCUAGGCUAGAAGGUGAGAGAAGCAGGAGAGAGCCAGUUGGGUUCCCUGACGAUGGUUCUAGAAUGGGGCCGUAACACCCAAUGAGAAAUGCCAGGAUAAACAUUUAUAGUGGGUGCAACAUGAUCUCGUCUUCGGGCCUUUAUUUCCCUGCUUGCUUCCAGGAGCACUUCCCGUCUUGUCUUCCCAGCAUCCAACACAAGUACAAGCUUAAACUUCAGAAUCCAAGAGAUGACAUGGUACAGGAGAAUUGAGUCUCAACUUUUUUGGUUUCUCCAGACCCCAGCACAUAGCCCGGUAACCAGCAGGCACUUAAUAACUGUAUGGUCAAUCAACCAAUUCAUGUAUUUAAUGAAAGC
rnacentral:lncRNA from 1 species